rnacentral:rRNA from 1 species
AACGCGAAGAACCUUACCUGCCCUUGACAUCCUGCGAAGCCGGGAGAGACCCUGGUGUGCCGAAAGGAGCGCAGAGACAGGUGCUGCAUGGCUGUCGUCAGCUCGUGUUGUGAGAUGUUGGGUUAAGUCCCGUAACGAGCGCAACCCUUGCCCCUAGUUGCCAGCAUUUGGUUGGGGACUCUAGGGGGACUGCCGGUGAGGGAACCGGAGGAAGGCGGGGACGACGUCAAGUCAUCAUGGCCUUUAUGGGCAGGGCUACACACGUGCUACAAUGGGGCGUACAGAGGGUCGCGAACCCGCGAGGGGGAGCCAAUCCCGCAAAGCGCCUCGUAGUCCGGAUUGGAGUCUGCAACCCGACUCCAUGAAGCUGGAAUCGCUAGUAAUCGCGGAUCAGCAUUGCCGCGGUGAAUACGUUCCCGGGCCUUGUACACACCGCUCGUC